rnacentral:rRNA from 1 species
CCCCCUGGACAGAUACUGACACUCAGAUGCGAAAGCGUGGGAGCAAACAGGAUUAGAUACCCUGGUAGUCCACGCCGUAAACGAUGUCUACUUGGAGGUUGUGGCCUUGAGCCGUGGCUUUCGGAGCUAACGCGUUAAGUAGACCGCCUGGGGAGUACGGUCGCAAGAUUAAAACUCAAAUGAAUUGACGGGGGCCCGCACAAGCGGUGGAGCAUGUGGUUUAAUUCGAUGCAACGCGAAGAACCUUACCUACUCUUGACAUCCAGAGAACUUAGCAGAGAUGCUUUGGUGCCUUCGGGAACUCUGAGACAGGUGCUGCAUGGCUGUCGUCAGCUCGUGUUGUGAAAUGUUGGGUUAAGUCCCGCAACGAGCGCAACCCUUAUCCUUGUUUGCCAGCGAGUAAUGUCGGGAACUCCAGGGAGACUGCCGGUGAUAAACCGGAGGAAGGUGGGGACGACGUCAAGUCAUCAUGGCCCUUACGAGUAGGGCUACACACGUGCUACAAUGGCGCAUACAGAGGGCAGCAAGCUAGCGAUAGUGAGCGAAUCCCAAAAAGUGCGUCGUAGUCCGGAUUGGAGUCUGCAACUCGACUCCAUGAAGUCGGAAUCGCUAGUAAUCGUAGAUCAGAAUGCUACGGUGAAUACGUUCCCGGGCCUUGUACACACCGCCCGUCACACCAUGGGAGUGGGCUGCAAAAGAAGUGGGUAGUUUAACUUCGGGAGGACGCUCACCACUUUGU